rnacentral:piRNA from 1 species
UUGGCUGAUGGACUAGCUCU